UUUUUGUCGAGAAUGGCAGGUUUCUAGUGAGAGGGCCCUGGCUUUCAAGGGAAACUUACAGACGCUCACCUGACCUCGCUCGCUCGCCACUGUGGCCGAAUGUCACAGGUCACAGGAAGCUGAGCGGCCCCCAGAAACCUGCUGUAACCGAGAGCAUCUGCCCCUCGAUCUCAACCCUUCUGUCUCCUUGGACAGCAAGUUCUUGUCGGGAAAGGAGAAGGCUCUUCAUCGGCCGGGCCCUUCUGAUGUCCCCACGAGAGGUUUUCAGCAGUUUCGGCAAAUGCCAACAGAGCUCGGGCAUGUCUGCGGCCAGGCACAGCCGCGUUCCGAGCGCAGACAUAACCAGGACGGCGCUUUAUUCCUGAGACACUCCUCCCAGACAUGCAGGUAGGUGCCCCACUUUUACCAGCCUGGAGAGGACCUUGCGCGGCGAGCUGCCAGCCCGAGGGGUCCUCUCUGACGCACAGGGGUCUGGUCAGGGGAUGGGUGGGGGGAGGACUGGUAACUGUGGUUUUAAUGAAACUCCUGAAUUUUCCAGGUUGCUCUACCACCUGUAACAUUGCUUAUUUUCAGUUUGCUCUUUUAAGUCUGCGCUCAGGGUUUCUAAACAGGAAAACUGCUGUGAGCAUGAACGUUUUCCUUCAGAAAGUCUCCUCUUAGCGCCGGGACCAACUGCUGGUUUUAAUUGCGUCCCCCCGGGACUGAAGGGCUACGUGGAUGACUCCUGAACCGAUUACUUAAAAGCUCUCCGUCUCUGCCCCCCUCAUUUCAAAGAUACCUACAGGACCUUCAGGGCAGAGCAACAUCUCGGGGACCCGAGGAGCAGA